rnacentral:rRNA from 1 species
AUUGAACGCUGGCGGCAUGCUUUACACAUGCAAGUCGAACGGCAGCGCGGGGCAACCUGGCGGCGAGUGGCGAACGGGUGAGUAAUACAUCGGAACGUACCCAGAAGUGGGGGAUAACGUAGCGAAAGUUACGCUAAUACCGCAUACGUUCUACGGAAGAAAGUGGGGGACCUUCGGGCCUCAUGCUUUUGGAGCGGCCGAUGUCUGAUUAGCUAGUUGGUGAGGUAAAGGCUCACCAAGGCGACGAUCAGUAGCUGGUCUGAGAGGACGACCAGCCACACUGGGACUGAGACACGGCCCAGACUCCUACGGGAGGCAGCAGUGGGGAAUUUUGGACAAUGGGCGCAAGCCUGAUCCAGCAAUGCCGCGUGAGUGAAGAAGGCCUUCGGGUUGUAAAGCUCUUUUGUCAGGGAAGAAACGGCUCGGGCUAAUAUCCUGGGCUAAUGACGGUACCUGAAGAAUAAGCACCGGCUAACUACGUGCCAGCCGCCGCCGUAA